CCCCACUGCUAUCGAGGUGGGACUAAGCCAUGCUAGUCGAACGACCCGGACUAUGGCGGGAAGUGGCAGACUGCUCAGUAACACGUAGCUAACCUACCCUUGGGACGGGUACAACCCCGGGAAACUGAGGUUAAUACCCGAUAGGUGUGGAAUCCUGGAAUGGUACCACGCCCAAAUGUAAACGCAUCCAUGUUUGCGUACACGCCCGAGGAUGGGGCUGCGGCCGAUCAGGCAGUUGGUGAGGUAACGGCUCACCAAACCUUUGACCGGUACGGGCCAUGAGAGUGGUAGCCCGGAGAUGGGCACUGAGACAAGGGCCCAGGCCCUACGGGGCGCAGCAGGCGCGAAACCUCCACAAUUCACGAAAGUGAGAUGGGGUUACCUCGAGUGCCGUCUGAAGAAGGCGGCUUUUCCAUUGUGUAAUGAGCCGUGGGAAUAAGAGGGGGGCAAGACUGGUGUCAGCCGCCGCGGUAACACCAGCCCCUCGAGUGGUGGGGAUGAUUAUUUGGCCUAAAGCGUCCGUAGCCUGCUCUGUAAAUCUUUCGUUAAAUCCAGCGUCCUAAGCGUUGGGCUGCGAGAGAGACUGCAGAGCUAGAGGGUGGGAGAGGUCAGCGGUAUUCCUGGGGUAGGGGCGAAAUCCAUUGAUCCCAGGAGGACCACCAGUGGCGAAGGCUGCUGACUAGAACACGCCUGACGGUGAGGGACGAAAGCUGGGGUAGCGAAUCGGAUUAGAUACCCGAGUAGUCCCAGCCGUAAACGAUGCAGGCUAGGUGUUGGGUUGGCCACGUGCCAGCUCAGUGCCACAGGGAAGCCAUUAAGCCUGCCGCCUGGGGAGUACGGCCGCAAGGCUGAAAC
rnacentral:rRNA from 1 species